rnacentral:rRNA from 1 species
AGGAUCAUUAUUGAAAUAAACCUGAUAAGUUGCUGCUGGUUCUCUAGGGAGCAUGUGCACACUUGUCAUCUUUGUAUUUUCACCUGUGCACCUUUUGUAGACCUGACUAUCUCUCUGAAUGCAUUUUCAGGAUUGAGGAUUGACUUUUUGUCUCUUCUCACAUUUUCAGGUCUAUGUUUCUUCAUAUACCCCAAUGUAUGUUUAUAGAAUGUAAUGAAUGGGCUUUUGUGCCUAUAAAUUUAUACAACUUUCAGCAACGGAUCUCUUGGCUCUCGCAUCGAUGAAGAACGCAGCGAAAUGCGAUAAGUAAUGUGAAUUGCAGAAUUCAGUGAAUCAUCGAAUCUUUGAACGCACCUUGCGCUCCUUGGUAUUCCGAGGAGCAUGCCUGUUUGAGUGUCAUUAAUAUAUCAACCUCUUUGGUUGGAUGUGGGCUUGCUGGCCUCUUGAGGUCAGCUCCCCUUAAAUGCAUUAGCGGACAACAUUUUGCCAACUGUUCAUUGGUGUGAUAAUUAUCUAUGCCAUUGACGUGAAGCAAGGUUCAGCUUCUAACAGUCCAUUGACUUGGACAAUUUUAUUAUUAUUAAUGUGACCUCAAAUCAGGUAGGACUACCCGCUGAACUU